AAAACCAAUAUUACUACCAUCGGUCCUCACCACUAGAUCGGUGUUAUGCUUUGUUGGGAUAGCAGGCCGUGCCAGUUGGACAGCCAAGGUCCACCUCUGGUUCGGCACACAU
rnacentral:snoRNA from 16 species